GUGACUUCUUGCUUUUCUUCAAUAGCUUUAAAUUAUUAGUUUGAUUAUUAAUUUACUUCUUAGGUUUCAUUUGUUUUGUGAAAAAUAUUAUCGUGGAAGAUAUUUUUUCUUGUCGAAAGAAAAACUAAGCCAUUUUUAAGAAAAAUGACUUUCCCUGCUCAAAAGAGGAAGUCAUUUUCCUGAAUUUGAUAAUCUUAUUAGAUUGUAAAAACACUUAUACAUGUAUGACAUAAACAAAUUUCAUUAGUUUAACAUUGCAAUCAA
rnacentral:misc_RNA from 1 species